UCGGGUUUCUUGUUUCUCCUCAAGAACAAGUGGUGCGGAUGGAGAAUACUCCCGCCUGGUUUACAUGUUCCAGUCAAAAAUAUGUUGGUGGUAAAUCCC
rnacentral:ncRNA from 1 species